AAACUUAAUAACCUUCCAGAGUUGGUAUCAAAUUCAGAUGCUGACACUCCUUGGAGAGGUUCUUUGCUGCAAGAGGAUGGAAAGGAUCACUCUGAUUUUGUUUUUCUCCUGUUGCUCUGUCUGGAAGCCAUGUGAGGGGGACAUCUGAGCAGUCCUGUGGAGGGGCCCCCAGCCAACAGCCAGCAUGAACUUGCUGGGCAUGUGAGUGCACCACCUUGGAAGUGGAGCCUCCACCCCCAGUCAAGCCAUCAGGGAGAGCUCAGGCUGGCCUGUUGGAGGAUGAUAGGCCACAUGCAACAGAUGUGAAGUGUCCCAGCUGACUCCAUUCCAGAACACACCCCUCUUCCAGAUGACCACAGAUGUAUGACAGAGUCAGCCAAUAUCUGCUGAGACAUCCCCAGAAAGACAGAACAUCCAGCCGACCCAUGGACUCAUGGGCAAUCAUGGAUAAAUGGAUAUUGUUUCAAGCUGCUAGGUUUGGGGUUGGUUUGUUACACAGCAAUAGCUAACAGCUACACCUCUAUUUUAAGGAGUUGUGAAGAUAAAUUGUAAAGGUACAGAAAAAUGAAUAGCUAUAACAGCACUAGUGAUUGAGUGCUGGCUCUCCCUGGUACUGUGCUUAGGACUGGCAUGCAUUAUCUCAAAGACUUGCAGAGGCUAGAAGGGCUGCAGCUGAAGAUUCUAGAAGAGUUCAAGUAUAAUGCCUGGCACAUGGUACCUGCUUCCUAUAUGCUAGUUGUUGGAUGCUGCUGAUGCUAGCAGCAUGUGGAACUCCUGACACCUGCCUCUGAUUUGGUAGUGGGGUCUGAACUUUGUAAUCUAUGUGUCCCAGAGACCUUGGGAAGUCUUCAGCUAACGGCAGACCAGGAGGUAGCUUUUGUGAUCUGAGUGCAGAGAGGUUUCUUAGAGUGAAUGGCAUCCAGGUAGGGUGGGGAAAAGGCAUUAGCCAGGGUGCUCCACACACUCCCCUCACUAGUGUGGUCCCUGGACCAGCAGCCUCAGCCUCCCCUGGGCCCUUAUUAGAAAUGCAGAAUCUCAGGUCCCACCCCCGCUUACUGAAUCAGUAAGCGCGUUUUAACAAGGUCCCCGGGGGAUUUGUGUGCAUGUUAAGAGUUUGUCCAGAACACUCUUCUCAAGCUAUCUGUGCUGAGGCACCGGUAUUUUUUUUCAAAUUCCAAUUUAUUGCAGAAUGACAGUUUAAAAAAAUACAGUAAAAAAGCAAAUUCCUAGAAAAAUUAAAUGAAUAAUAAAAUAUACAAAAUCUAA